rnacentral:rRNA from 1 species
GAUGAACGCUGGCGGCGUGCUUAACACAUGCAAGUCGAACGGAAAGGCACUGAUUUUGUGGUGUGCUCGAGUGCCGAUCGGGUGCGUAACACGUGUGUAACCUGCUCUUGAUUUUCGUAUAACUUCAGGAAAGUGGGGCUACUACCAGACAGGAGCUCCCGCUGCAUGGUGGGGGGUGGAACGUUGAGGCCGUCGGGGAUGGACUCGCGGCUUAUGAGUUUGUUGGUUGGGUAGUGGCUUACCAAGGCUUUGACGGGUAGCCGGCUUGAGAGGGGGACCGGCCUCAUUGGGACUGAGAUACGGCCCAGACGCCUACGGGAGGCAACAGUGGGGAGUAUUGCACAGUGAGAGGGAGCCUGAUGCAGAAACGCCGCGUUCGGAAUGACGGCCUUCGGGGUGUGAACCGCUGUCGCCUGUGACGAAGCGUGAGUGACGGUAAUGAAUAAAGAAGCACCGGCUAACUACGUG